GACAGAGGUCCCGAGCGUUAGGCGGAAUCACUGGGCUUAAAGCGUGUGUAGGCGGAUGCCUAAGUACCUUGUGAAAUCCCAUGGCUCAACCGUGGAACUGCUUGGUAUACUGGGUCUCUUGAGCCACCUAGGGGCAAGUGGAACAAACGGUGGAGCGGUGAAAUGCGUAGAUAUCGUUUGGAACGCCAAUGGUGAAAACAACUUGCUGGGGGUGUGCUGACGCUGAGACACGAAAGCCAGGGGAGCAAACGGG
rnacentral:rRNA from 1 species